rnacentral:rRNA from 1 species
AGUGAACGCUGGCGGUAGGCCUAACACAUGCAAGUCGAACGGCAGCACAGUAAGAGCUUGCUCUUACGGGUGGCGAGUGGCGGACGGGUGAGGAAUACAUCGGAAUCUACUUUUUCGUGGGGGAUAACGUAGGGAAACUUACGCUAAUACCGCAUACGACCUACGGGUGAAAGCAGGGGAUCUUCGGACCUUGCGCGAUUGAAUGAGCCGAUGUCGGAUUAGCUAGUUGGCGGGGUAAAGGCCCACCAAGGCGACGAUCCGUAGCUGGUCUGAGAGGAUGGUCAGCCACACUGGAACUGGAGCACGGUCCAGACUCCUACGGGAGGCAGCAGUGGGGAAUAUUGGACAAUGGGCGCAAGCCUGAUCCAGCCAUACCGCGUGGGUGAAGAAGGCCUUCGGGUUGUAAAGCCCUUUUGUUGGGAAAGAAAAGCAGCAGGUUAAUACCCCGCUGUUCUGACGGUACCCAAAGAAUAAGCACCGGCUAACUUCGUG